CGGACGGGUGAGUAAUGUCUGGGAAACUGCCCGAUGGAGGGGGAUAACUACUGGAAACGGUAGCUAAUACCGCAUAACGUCGCAAGACCAAAGAGGGGACCUUAGGGCCUCUUGCCAUCGGAUGUGCCCAGAUGGGAUUAGCUAGUAGGUGGGGUAACGGCUCACCUAGGCGACGAUCCCUAGCUGGUCUGAGAGGAUGAUCAGCCACACUGGGACUGAGACACGGCCCAG
rnacentral:rRNA from 1 species